rnacentral:rRNA from 1 species
CCUACGGGUGGCAGCAGUAGGGAAUCUUCCACAAUGGGCGAAAGCCUGAUGCAGCAACGCCGCGUGGAUGAAGAAGGUCUUCGGAUCGUAAAACCCUGUUGUUAGAGAAGAAAGUGCGUGAGAGUAACUUUUCACGUUUCGACGGUAUCUAACCAGAAAGCCACGGCUAACUACGUGCCAGCAGCCGCGGUGAUACGUAGGUGGCAAGCGUUAUCCGGAUUUAUUGGGCGUAAAGGGAACGCAGGCGGUCUUUUACGUCUGAUGUGAAAGCCUUCGGCUUAACCGGAGUAGUGCAUGGGAAACUGGGAGACUUGAGUGCAGAAGAGGAGAGUGGAACUCAAUGUGUAGCGGUGAAAUGCGUAGAUAUAUGGAAGAACACCAGUGGCGAAAGCGGCUCUCUGGUCUGUAACUGACGCUGAGGUUCGAAAGCGUGGGUAGCAAACAGGAUUAGAUACCCUAGUAGUC